rnacentral:sRNA from 1 species
CAAGGGUCACCGUGAAUCGUGGCCCGAUGCGGUUGAUCCAUCGAUCCGCUACAUCGUUGCACCUCGCUUCCUCCUUGCAACCAGCACGCGGAAAAGCCGCGUUAACAACACCACGUUCCAAGGAGAGAGUAACGAUGUCCGGCAAAGAAAUCGGAACCGUCAAGUGGUUCAACGAUGCCAAGGGUUUUGGCUUCAUCAGCCGUGAAAACGGCGAAGACGUAUUCGUGCAUUUCCGCGCGAUCCAGUCCCAGGGCUUCAAGAGCCUGAAGGAAGGCCAGAAGGUUUCCUUCACGGUCGUGCAGGGUCAGAAAGGCCUGCAGGCCGACGCGGUCGAACCGUUGUAAGACGUUCGCUGCGGCGCAACAUCGCGCCGCACUUCGUCAGAGAAACCCGGCCUCGGCCGGGUUUUUCUUU